rnacentral:lncRNA from 1 species
UCUGAUCAACCGCUAGAACACAAUCGAACAUGUUCAAGCUCUCCGUUGUGGAUAGUAAUUUCAGUUUUUCAGGUUCAUUAAGAAAUUUCAGAAAUAGCAUCAGGGCUGUUACAUUGGUAACAGUUUUACAGCUACAGUUCAGAUAGGCACAUAUCUGAACGAAAACCAGGUAGCUAACAGAGAGUCACAUAUCUGAAUAAAAUCGCAAGUGAUUAAGCAUAGACAAAUAUUUUGCGUAGUCACAUAUCGGAGCAGCAACGUAUGUAGAGUUUGUUCUUCAGCCCGUUUUCAUAUCUAUCAUUGGCAACAACUCUUGCAAUCAUAUGUCCAAAACAUCCAUUUGUAUCUCGGACAUGAAGUUCUCCAGAACAUUAUUUUCAUGAUAUUUGAAUCUGCUCCAUCAUCUACAAAAUCAAAAGAUAAUUUGUUUUCUUAGAUGGAUAUAAACCUUAUCAUUUUGUUCAUGGCUUUCUUUCAUGCGCAUAUUUUAUUUUAGGCUUUUUCUUCACAUAGUUUAGUUGAUUCUAUUAUAUAGUAUAAUCUCUUUACUUUCUCGGUUACUUUCACUAAAUUGGCACAUCAUUUUUUUUGGGAAAAUGAGAUUUUAUCUACUAGUACCUAGCUAAAAGUAUGAGUUAAUUUUGUUGGCUUUAAGGUUUUCAGAUCUUUUAGGGUUUGUUUGGGUCAUCGAUCUUCAUUUGUGGCUUGGAUCAUCGUGGCCUUCUAGUUCUAGGCCAAAGCAGGAUGUCCUUAGAGAUUGGGUGGUCUAGUGCAAAAUUCAAAACAAGGCCCAUUUUUAAGAAAGCCACUUAUUUAAACAGGUUUCUUUGUUAAUUAUAGCACUGAAACAAUCUUACGAAAGGGAGUAUCCGAAGACCCUUUAACUGCUAAUAAACUAAACAUAUGACUUUGGAAUUGAGGAAGUAUUUUUUUACAUGAAAACUGUCAUUCUAGUAGUUUUAUUUGCAAAUAAUAUUCAAUUCAAACUUUCUGCAAAAUAUCAUUUCUAAGUGCCAGUGUAGCUAGUGCAAUGUUUUUUUUGGGUGUGUUAAUGUAAAACGCAUGUAGUACUUUUUUAACAACUUUAAUUUGAAAUUCUACUUUGACACCACAUUGAUCGGAAUAGUGAACAAAAUUUUACAUGCUAAGCGUUCUUACGUUUUUAUCUUAAAGGAAACAAUGGAGUAACCUAAAGUUCAUAUACAAGUGUACGGACCGAAUAUGGCCUAAGAGUGAAGUGAUUUGGGCUCUGGUUAUAUUCUACGCAUGUCCAAGAGGCUGUGUUUCUCUCCCCAACCAACCUUUAUGGGCGAUUGUAGGAUCGAUUCACUUUAAAAUAGAAAAUCAGAAUGGAGUAAAUGAUUACAAAAGCUAAACAUAAAAUUAAAGACUUCAUCUUAAGCACAAAAUAUAAUUAGCUUUGUCAUAUUAAACUAGAUGAUAUUAGUGAAUUAACCCAACUAGAAUCACAUCAAUUGAAGUCUAGAACUCAAGAUAUGAAAAUAACAAGCAUGUUAUGUUAGAAUAUGACAAGAACUAAUUAAGACUAGAUUUUGUGAUUAAGAAAAAAAAUUCUUAAAAGAUAAAUCAAUGAAACUUUUUAGAUCAAGUGGGUUCGUACUGAUGGACCGAGAGCGGUGAAGGGAGAGCACUGAGUCUUAAAUGAGAGACUAGAGAAGUCGGAUGACCGCUACAGUGGCUAACACUUGGGGUUAUCAAUAGGCGCAAGGAUAUGGCAUAGAGGAUCAUGUUGCCACGCUUUUGAGGAUCGACGGGUCACGUGUCCAGGAUAUGGGGGGACGUGUAUAGAAUACGCUUCUUGUAGAGGAGGUUUGGUGGUUAAACCUCAAAACCACAUGGCGAUGGUUUUUAGGGUUUGGCCUCAAAACCUAGCAGCGUGGUUUUGGAGGGAAUCGAAGGUGAUACGUGAAACCACCGUAAAGCAACUUUGCGAAGGAAGGGUGGUAAUCAGGUCAUCGAAUUAAGAGUUGAUUCAUUUCGUCCCUUGCUAAAUAGAUAAGUUCCAUGUAUCUAAGGGUAAUUUAGGAAUGUGAAAAAAAAUCUAUAUAAAUAAGAGGAAGGGCUGCACUAAUCAGCCAUCUCUUUAUUUUGUGGUUUGCACUUCCAUUUUCCCUUUGUUAGCGAUAUCCUUAGCAGUUUUGACACUUGCUUCUAUGCAUUUUUUUAUUUGGGAAGCAUGGCCUUGACCACACUAUGACCUCUUUAUUUUAUUUCGAUCCAAAUUAUGUUUUCUUUGGAGAUUUUGAUUUGUCUUCUCUUCUCAAACACUUUUGUUUGGACCUUUGAAGUGAGUUUGUGAAAUAUGAGUUUGAGAUGAAUUUUUGGGUAGAUAACUUCUGGUAUGGGUUGAUUCAAUUUGUAAAAUAAGUUUCUACUGUUUUGUACUUUUGAGAAAAGCCCAACUCCAAUUUGAGUUUUGUGACAUGAUUCUCAAGUUUUGAUAUUUUGGUGCUCAAACUCAUGGAACCUUUUUAUUUUCUCUAUGUCUCACUGUGCACCAAGUUUCAUCACAAUCAAAGUAUUUUUGCUCGAGCGGCACUAUCAGACGGAGGAGCGACACUGUCGCUCCGUACAAUGGGAUUCUCGGUUGGUUCUUUCUUAGACUUUUGGCGUAGAUGUUGGGCGAUGAACAACGUUGAAGGGUUGAUGGAGAAGAGGUACGACGGUUUAGGGAUGACUAAGCCACGUCACUGACCACCAAAGUCAGGAGGUGGUGGCCCGCAGCUGGAAGGUGACGUUGGAUGGGAGUCGAGCAUCGAGUCAGGUGGGUGGCCUCUGUAUAUAAAAGGAAAUGAUCCAAUCAUAGAAGCAAUGACAUUUGUGUAACGUUUUGGAAAUAUUGGAUAAGGAACCCGAGAAUCUAGGGUGGAGGAGAUUCGAGAUUAACUAAAUUUUUUUUAAGGUUUUCAAGAAUUAACUUACCUUAUGUACUCGAUUGGUCGAUAUUUCAUAUUUGUUAUCGUGGAUCUGGCAUAGAAAGCUAAAGUAAAGGAUCCAUAAGCAAGAUUCUAAAUCUCUCACUAUGGACAUUGUUAUCUUUAGAUAUAGCUGUUAAUAAAGGCUAAAACUAUUUAGCCACUAUAACCUGAUUUAACCCGCACUAUUAGCUAUGCAAUUAGCUGUUUGAGAAGUAAAACACUGUAUGAAAAGCCUGAUGUGACCAAGACAACGAUAUCGGCAUAGACAUUGUUAUCUUUAUGUUUUUUAUGUCGAAGUAGUGGCAACAAGGAUAUCAGGAUGAGCGUCGGUGUCAAAAAUCAACCGCGGCUUCAACAACGAUAUCGAUGUAGAGCUUAACGUGCUACCGUAUUAUGUAUGAAUCAAAGCACCGACGGCUCAGAUUUUUUUUUUUUUUUACUCUUUGUCUCUUGUGAUCAAGACAGUAGAUGAAAAUAGAUAGAGGGACUAUAAUCAGCUAAUCAAGUUGACCAGAACAAGUUUUGCUUGGAUCAGGAUCACGUCGUCCACUAACAUAUAGUGCCGAUGGAAGGAAAACCACUUCCCGCCCCCGGACUGGAAGCCAACCGAAGCAAGAAAGAGGAGAAACGUAGCAAGAAACCAACUACGAACCCAACAACCAGAGCUCAAAAUCCAAUUUUUUUUUUUUAAAAAAAAAACUCCCAGCAGAAGAACAACCAAGAAGCCAAGAACCUGUGACGCGAGCCAUGGACUCUGGUCCGGUGCCCACGCGCCCAACAGGAGGUUCCGCAGCGGUGGCUUCGUCGUCUUCAUCACUCAUCUUUCUGGGCACCGGCUGCUCCGGCGCGCUCCCCGACGCGCGAUGCCUCAUCCAGCCGUCGGAGCCUCCGUGCACCGUCUGCUCCACGGCCCUCUCCCUGCCGCCGGACCGGAACCCCAACUACAGGUGAGCGCUGCGCUCCUACAUAGCAUAGCAUAGCCAAUCGCUGUUCAGCGAACGCUUCUGCUCCAAAUAACUGCCAGAGCCUCAAAACAAAACUGGUCUUGACCUAGAGAAUUCUCGAGUUUUACCUGCCCUGGAAAUCGGCAAGAGCAUCCGGUGUCUCACACU